UAUUAUUUUCUCUCCUCCCAAACACCAAAUCUACUCUCGAGAAAUCUCCCAAAAUCUUCAUCAAUUUCUUUUUCUUUUCUAAAAGAUUUUCAAGAAAUUGAAGCUUUAGUUCAUUUUUCUUCUCCAAUCAAGGUGAGAUUAUGUUUCUUAACUAUAUUGUCUUACAUGUUGCUUUUCUAAUCAAGAUUUGAUCCUUUAAAAUGAUAUUUCUAAAGAUAUAAUUAUUUAAGUUGAAAUUGAGCCAAAAAAUGGUAAAAUUUGGUUUUCUAAGUUUAAUCUUUUUUUCUAAGUGAUUUCCAUCUUUUUUUGAUAUGACUAAGAGGUUUCUAAUCUUACUUUAACAAAUCAUUAUGAGAUUUUAAAUAUUUGAUGAUUUUUGCUCUCGAAUGUUCAUAUGAGGUGAUUUUUUCAUAAAAUUGAAAAUUGAGUUUCUAGGUGUUCUAAGUGGUUUAGAUCUAUUCUAAAAUGACUAAUAAGAUGAUUAGAAUAAAUUUUAAGUAAAGGAAACAAGAAUCGAUCAAGAAAUCUAGGAUUACGAUAAAUCUAGUUAGAUUUUCGGUUUAUAAGAGGAUAGGAUGGAUCUACAUUUUUUUUUGAGAUUUGAAUCUAUUUUUGGUUGUUAAUGACCAUGUGCUUAAUGUGUAUGCAAAGUUACAAAUCCAUCUGAGCCCUCUACGAGUAAGGCGUAAGACAAAGCGAAGCUAGUUUAAGCUUUUGGCAAGAAUGUGAAAGCUAAUCGGUGAGUGAUCUGGAGUUGUUGAUUGUUAGCACAUUUCAAUAAGUAAAUUGGGAGCUUAGGUUAGCCUAAACACCUAUCCUAAGUUUCGAGUGUAAGUACUCUUACUCGAUCUUGUUUUAUUUUGUAAAUAAUGCAUAUGUGAUGUGAUAGGUGAUAUAUGAUAAGCUAUUAUAGCAAGUGUUAUGUGUUUAUGUCAGCAUAUGAUAUGACCAUUGGUAGUUUUAUGCACGCAUAUGAUAUCUAAUGUGAUUGUGGCUCAUUGAGAUUGUGUUGGCACUUGCAAGUGCAUUUAAUGUGAUUGUGAUUGUGUUAUGAAUAUGAUGAACAUGAACAAGUGAAAAGGUGCAUAAAACAGUAAAUAAAUUUUAUAUAAGUGGAUAUGUUGGCCUUGUGAUCUCUUGAAAUCAUUAGAUAUAGUUGGCAUGCCAUAGGAUUUGAGUACACACACAUGUGCUUAAUAUAUGAGACAUGUUGGAGAGAUAAGGGAAUGUUGAGCAUUGACUCUAUUCAUGGGACAUGUUGGUGUGUUAGAGAGUGUUAGCUUUAUGCUACACUUUGAUUAGGACAUAUAGAAUCUUUGAGUCAUAAUGAGGCUAUAUAAGAAUAUUCAUUUGUCCAAGGAAAUGUGUUUUCUUAUCUAUUUUAUAAGUCUAAAGUAGCCAAUAUAUCAAUAUUGAAUUGUCUAAAUUAUGCUUAAAAGUGCUAUGAAUGGUUGCCUUUAGUAUACUUUUUCUUAACUAUUGAUAACGUGGUUCAUUGUAGCAUUUCUUGAGCAUUCACUAAGCUUGUAAAGCUCACACUUGUGUUUAAAUGUUUUGCAGAAAAAUAUCUCUAUUGAGGAGGGGGAAGUAGGCAAGAGUGGUGAUCCAACAAGGCAUUGUGGUUGAGUAUGUGCUUGUGGUUUUUGAACUCAUUUAAUAAAGGAAAUAUGGGUUGAUUUUGGAGGAAUAAUCUUUUAUUUUUUAAAUAGUAAAAAUGGACUUUAGACUUUGAUAUUGGUUUAUAUUUUUUACGCAUGUGAUUAACAUUGAAUAUGCAUGAUGUUGGUUGGAAUUUUAUGAUAAAGAAUUGCAUGAAGCUUGGUUAAAGAGUGAUAAGAAUGUUUGAAUUGUAUUCUGAAAGUUUUGGCAUGUUUAAAAUGACCAAAUGGUUCAUAUACGACGUUUAGAAAAUCAUGAUAUACAAAUAUGGCAUGUUGAGUAAAUUAUUUUAGAGUUAGCACUUGUAUGAUAGCAUGAUCAUUCACUUGAUAGGGUCAAAUUUUAUUAUUCUAUGUAAUAGUGUAUUUGAGCAUGUUUUAAAUGAUGAAUGUGUUGGAAAAUGUGUCCAUCUUGUAGUAAACAUGUAACUGUUUUCUAUUUAUUUGAA
rnacentral:lncRNA from 1 species